rfam:Salmo salar isolate Sally breed double haploid chromosome ssa20, whole genome shotgun sequence.
UGCUUUGACUACUGUAAGUCGCUCUGGAUAAGAGUGUCUGCUAAAUGACUAAAA